GACGAACGCUGGCGGCGUGCUUAACACAUGCAAGUCGAGCGGUAAGGCCUCUUCGGGGUACACGAGCGGCGAACGGGUGAGUAACACGUGGGUGACCUGCCCUCAGCUCUGGGAUAAGCCUGGGAAACUGGGUCUAAUACCGGAUAUGACCACGGAUCGCAUGGUGUGUGGUGGAAAGUGUUUUCGGCUGGGGAUGGGCCCGCGGCCUAUCAGCUUGUUGGUGGGGUGAUGGCCUACCAAGGCGACGACGGGUAGCCGGCCUGAGGGGGCGACCGGCCACACUGGGACUGAGGCACGGCCCAGACUCCUACGGGAGGCAGCAGUGGGGAAUAUUGCGCAAUGGGCGGAAGCCUGACGCAGCGACGCCGCGUGGGGGAUGACGGCCUUCGGGUUGUAAACCUCUUUCGGCCCCGACGAAGCGUGAGUGACGGUAGGGGUAGAAGAAGCACCGGCCAACUACGUGCCAGCAGCCGCAGUAAAAC
rnacentral:rRNA from 1 species